AAUAUAAUAAUGUCAAAUUAAAUUAAGGCUUCUAAACAUGGUAGUGAAAAUCGUAAUCAGCUGGUUUUGUUUUUGAAACAAAUUUAGAAAACAAUAUGUCUAGCAAAUCCGGCGAUAGUAUUAAAAAAAUACCAAGAAUUUUAACUUUCCGGCCAUCGUAUGAUGAAUUCAAAAACUUUUCAUCUUACAUUGAUUACAUAGAAUCUAGGGGCGCACAUCGGGCAGGUCUUGCAAAAAUAAUACCACCUCCCGAAUGGCGCCCAAGAAAAGGUGGAUACGAUAUAGAUCAUAUAAAUAUGACCAUUCCAGCUCCGAUAUCUCAGGUUGUGUCAGGGAAACAGGGAGAGUAUCAGCAAAUAAAUGUCCUAAAAAGAUCCAUGACGUUGCGCCAAUUUAAGGAACUUGCCGAAUCGGAACGGUAUCAGACACCAAAGCAUUUCGACUACGACGAUUUAGAACGUAAAUAUUGGAAAAAUGUCACCUAUAUUGCUCCGCUUUAUGCUGCUGACAUAAAAGGUUCUUUAAGCGACGACGAUUUAAAGGUGUGGAAUAUCGAUCGUUUGGAAACAAUACUAGACUAUGUGAACAAAGACUACGGUAUUGAAAUAGAUGGUGUAAAUACCGCCUAUUUAUAUUUUGGCAUGUGGAAGAGUUCAUUUGCUUGGCAUACUGAGGACAUGGAUUUAUACUCAAUUAACUAUCUUCAUUUUGGAGCUCCCAAAACAUGGUAUGCAAUUCCACCUGCUUAUGGACGUAAUCUGGAGAAAUUGGCCAAUCGAAUUUUUUACGAAAACUAUCAGAACUGCAAUUCUCAUUUGCGGCAUAAAAUGACACUUAUUAGUCCUCAGGUUUUAAAGCAAUAUAAAAUUCCCUAUAAUCGUAUCACUCAGGAAGCAGGAGAAAUUAUGAUAACUUUUCCAUAUGGAUAUCAUGCUGGUUUUAAUCAUGGGUUUAACGGAGCUGAAUCGACAAACUUUGCUUCUAAGCGAUGGAUAGAAUAUGGCAAAAGGGCUUCAAUAUGUCAUUGUCGCAAAGACAUGGUGAAGAUAUCUAUGGAAACAUUUGUGAAAAGGUUUCAACCUGAUCGUUACGAAAGCUGGUUAAAUGGAGUUGAUUACGGAUGUCACCCUGAAGAACCAGAUAAAAUUUAUGCUGCACCUCCUCCAACCAUUAACAAGUAUACAUAUUUGAAAAGAAAAUCUUCUGAAAGUUCCGAGUUAUCCCAAAAUUCGUGUUGUAAGAAAACCCAUCCACAAAAACGCGGUUGUUCGUUAGCUCUAGGAGAAGACUCCUUAACACCAAACGAAGAAUUACAAAGCAACGUCUUUAUAUCAUGUAGUUUGACAGCGAAGCAUCUUUUUUUGAAAAAAGUUCCAACUUUGAAACUUCACAAACUUGAUACAAGUGAAUUGGGUCUACAAAAACAAAUGGACUUUAGCAACGUUAUAGCAGAACAAUUACAACAAAUUUGGAAAGACCUGCCAUGUCCCAAUCCUGGAGAAAAUCUUCUUACAGAUGGUUCUGUUCGACAUCCAGAUCUAGGAACUCUGCGACUUUGACGGGGUGCGUCCGGAGCAGGGAUGCCAACUUAGCGCUUUUCGCACUAGAUUUGGUCCUUUUAAGGACACGCAAAACCCGAAAAGGAAUCCCAAUUUUACUGUCGAGUUUUGCCACGGCGAGCUUUAGAGAAGUCUAUUUCAUCUAUCAACGUUUUUUAAAUUUCCCACAAACAUUCCAUAAAAGAACAGGAUAUACUUCUCUCAAAUAAUUUUAAGUAUAAUAGUUGGACCACGCCUCAUCUGUAAGGCGAAGAGAAAAUGCAUUUCUAUCACUAAUCAUUAAAUAACGCAUAGAAGUCAUAAAUCAUACAUAAGGAAAUAACACCCACAUCCAAUUGUGACGUCCAUAUU